CCAUGCGUAUCCAUCAAUUUUAUAACUUUUAAUUUUUCAAAACAUUCAGAACACGCUUGUACUUUGACACAAAACGUAAUAAAGACUAGAAAUGACAACUAUUAUCCGUAAAAACAUCGAAAGAAACGCGAAAACACAUAAAACGGAGUUAUAUUUAGGCUGACAAGACAAAACGUCACGUGUAAACAGCAAAAAUAACGCGUGUAAACGUAAAAUAACUUGGACCAAACGAUGAGAUAGCUUAAAAGACGUACGAUUUAAAUAAAUAAACAGAAUAUGACGUAUAAAACCGGGUGAAUAUAAAAGUUAUAACGAAAAAUAUAACACUUAUAGCAAACGAAUUCUUAUUUCACCCCUUUUGGUGUAAAAAUGGAUCUCAUGUAAUUUUUGAUGAUAGAAAUAGUUGCUACCUUUAAUUUAAAUGUCGGUGCUACUUUAACCAUAGAUUUCCUUAUCCAUUUUGCUCUAGUACAAUUUUCACCGAGUUAGCUUUCCAACCAAUCAUAUUCCAGUACUGGAAAGCCAAUCAUCUCGGUUAUUAUUAUCUAUGGGUACCCAAUCUAUGUAAUAAAUUGUCAAAGGUCUAUACAUUGACAUUCAUGAUUGACAUUGAAAACAACACGGACAAAGAAGAAGGACAAGAUGGCAGCAAUUUGGUAAGAAUUAAAUUUUAUUUAUUAUUUUCGAGGUAUUUCCCUUUUUUUCUUUUCUAUUUAUUUCAGGUACUCCAUACCAAAGAACAGGAUUCGUCAUAUAAGCAGCAACAGGCGUCCGCAACAAAAUUUCUUCGGAGAAAAUUUCGUGAAAUUUUCGAGGAAGAAACAAAAAGGUCGCCUGGGAAUUAGAUUUCUACAGGAUUAUUCAGUACGGAAACACAACCUUAAUGGACUGGUUUCUCAUGGACUAAUAGAGCACGUGGUUGUAAUUGGGAGGUAGAAGUUCCUAAAACUACAAACGGAUACUCAUCGUGGUGAACAUUCUCACCCGGUGAAAAUGUAAAAAAAAUUCUCGGCCGGUGAAAAGUGAUUUUUGGUUUAUAAUGAAACUCCAAUCCAUGCGGCAUGGUUUUGGGACCAACAAAAUAGUUUCUCUAUCAUUUUGGAAUUGGUUGGACUAAAUUUUCGUCCGUGGGGAGUAACCCAUGUUAUAAGCCGGGCUUAAAUUAGCUUAGUAGUUUAUAAUCAUAAAAUAACUCAUGACGCGGAUAAAACUGUACAGAUAAUUUAAUACAGGCUCAAAGAUUCAAGGACAAGUUAUUUUAAAUUUGGAAGUUACAAUCGCCGCACAAGAACCUACCCCUAUCUAUGUUGCAGAAGUGGAGAGAAAAACCGGAUCUUUUCUUGGGGAUUAACGUUGCAGCCAGCUGGGACUCUAUAAGGACGAGGUGCUCCGGUGGACGGGCGGCUCGGAUGGCUGCGUAAGAGCUCCGACCUCUUAGAUUGGAA